rnacentral:rRNA from 1 species
UACGUAGGCAGCAAGCGUUGUUCGGAGUUACUGGGCGUAAAGGGUGUGUAGGCGGUUGUUUAAGUUUGGUGUGAAAUCUCCCGGCUCAACUGGGAGGGUGCGCCGAAUACUGAAUGACUAGAGUGCGGGAGAGGUGAGUGGAAUUCCUGGUGUAGCGGUGAAAUGCGUAGAUAUCGUCUGGAACGCCGAAGGUGAAAACAGCUCGCUGGGGUUGUGCUGACGCUGAGACACGAAAGCGUGGGGAUCAAACAGG